AGGAUAAACGCUGGCGGCGUGCUUAACACAUGCAAGUCGAGCGAACCUUCGGGUUAGCGGCGAACGGGUGAGUAACACGUGGGCAACCUGCCCCGAGCUCUGGGAUAACUCCGGGAAACCGGGGCUAAUACCGGAUAUGACCCGAGAAGACAUCUUCUCGGGUGGAAAGUUUUUCGGCUCGGGAUGGGCCCGCGGCCUAUCAGCUUGUUGGUGGGGUAACGGCCUACCAAGGCGACGACGGGUAGCC
rnacentral:rRNA from 1 species